UGGAAGUUAGAACAAGAGGUCUCUGGUCUU
rnacentral:piRNA from 1 species